CCUACGGGUGGCAGCAGUGAGGAAUAUUGGUCAAUGGGCGCGAGCCUGAACCAGCCAAGUAGCGUGAAGGAUGACUGCCCUACGGGUUGUAAACUUCUUUUAUAAAGGAAUAAAGUGCGGCACGUGUGCCUUUUUGCAUGUACCUUAUGAAUAAGGACCGGCUAACUCCGUGCCAGCAGCCGCGGUAAUACGGAGGAUCCGAGCGUUAUCCGGAUUUAUUGGGUUUAAAGGGAGCGUAGAUGGGUUGUUAAGUCAGUUGUGAAAGUUUGCGGCUCAACCGUGGAAUUGCAAGUGAUACUGGCAGUCUUGAGUACAGUUGAGGUAGGCGGAAUUCGUGGUGUAGCGGUGAAAUGCUUAGAUAUCACGAAGAACUCCGAUUGCGAAGGCAGCUUACUAAACUGCAACUGACAUUGAUGCUCGAAAGUGUGGGUAUCAAACAGGAUUAGAUACCCGAGUAGUC
rnacentral:rRNA from 1 species